UACGGAGGGGACUAGCGUUGUUCGGAAUUACUGGGCGUAAAGCGCACGUAGGCGGAUUUGUAAGUCAGGGGUGAAAUCCCGAGGCUCAACCUCGGAACUGCCUUUGAUACUGCAAAUCUCGAGUCCGGAAGAGGUGAGUGGAAUUCCUAGUGUAGAGGUGAAAAUUCGUAGAUAUUAGGAAGAACACCAGUGGCGAAGGCGGCUCACUGGUCCGGUACUGACGCUGAGGUGCGAAAGCGUGGGGAGCAAACA
rnacentral:rRNA from 1 species